rnacentral:rRNA from 1 species
GAUGAACGCUGGCGGCGUGCCUAAUACAUGCAAGUCGAGCGAACAGAUGAGGAGCUUGCUCCUCUGACGUUAGCGGCGGACGGGUGAGAACACGUGGAUAACCUACCUAUAAGACUGGGAUAACUUCGGGAAACCGGAGCUAAUACCGGAUAAUAUAUUGAACCGCAUGGUUCAAUAGUGAAAGACGGUUUUGCUGUCACUUAUAGAUGGAUCCGCGCCGCAUUAGCUAGUUGGUAAGGUAACGGCUUACCAAGGCAACGAUGCGUAGCCGACCUGAGAGGGUGAUCGGCCACACUGGAACUGAGACACGGUCCAGACUCCUACGGGAGGCAGCAGUAGGGAAUCUUCCGCAAUGGGCGAAAGCCUGACGGAGCAACGCCGCGUGAGUGAUGAAGGUCUUCGGAUCGUAAAACUCUGUUAUUAGGGAAGAACAAAUGUGUAAGUAACUAUGCACGUCUUGACGGUACCUAAUCAGAAAGCCACGGCUAACUACGUG